rnacentral:rRNA from 1 species
GAUGAACGCUGGCGGCGUGCUUAACACAUGCAAGUCGAGCGAGAAGUUUUGAAAAGAUUCUUCGGAUGAAAUUUAAAAUGGAAAGCGGCGGACGGGUGAGUAACGCGUAGGCAACCUGCCCCAUACAAAGGGAUAGCAUUUGGAAACGAAUAUUAAUACCUUAUGAAACUUAACUAGUGCAUGCUAGGUAGGUCAAAGAUUUAUCGGUAUGGGAUGGGCCUGCGUCUGAUUAGCUAGUUGGUGAGGUAACGGCUCACCAAGGCGACGAUCAGUAGCCGACCUGAGAGGGUGAACGGCCACAUUGGAACUGAGACACGGUCCAAACUCCUACGGGAGGCAGCAGUGGGGAAUAUUGCACAAUGGGGGAAACCCUGAUGCAGCAACGCCGCGUGAACGAUGAAGGCCUUUGGGUCGUAAAGUUCUGUUCUAGGGGAGGAAAACUGACAGUAACCUAGGAGAAAGCCCCGGCUAACUCCGUG